rnacentral:misc_RNA from 1 species
UUAAGUUCAGCGGGUAUUCCUACCUGAUCCGAGGUCAACUCUUGAGUCGGGGGUUUCACGGCGUGACCCUCUCCGCGCUCCGGUGCGAGUGUGUGCUACUGCGCAGGGGAGGCCGCGGCGGGGUCGCCACUGCAUUUCGGGGGCGGCCAGGGCCGGCCCCCAACACCGGGCCCCCUGGGGGGCCUCGAGGGUUGAAAUGA